CUGAGAAGUCACCGAACACACGCGGCCACGCGCUGCCUCUCGCUGCCACAGCUGCCAAAACCGAAGCAGGUAACCACUUCACGGACACUUCACCAUCUUUACGGACAAUUCAGCUGGAAAUAAAAGCUUACAGAGCAGCCUUCUCCUGAGCUCCUGGGCAAAGCAUCAGGAUGUCUUCCGAACACACCAGCAAGGAUGCCAUAUGCAGCAGGAAGGGUGGAGCAGAAAUGUGGGUGCUGUUUGAAGUUAUCGUGCCUUUCGUUUUCAGCUGGGUGAAGUAGUGAGAAAAUUGAAGAUGUUGGCGCUCUUGGUUUGACUUUUCUGCUUGAGGCCCGGGAAGGAGAAUGAAAUCAUGGCUUCAGUUUAAAAAUGCUGGGCUGCUCUGGUAGCCAAAGGAGGAAGAAAAAAAUGUCAGAGAUGAGAGAUUACGAAACCUUCUGGACCAUAUGGAGAUGGUAUUUCUAUCUGCAUGUGUUUUCCUGGGCCCCAGACAACUGCCAGCACGCCCAGGGAGGAUUCGGAUACCAUCCACUGGCCUGCCACUGUCCAAGGCAUUGCCACCAAAAGCCAGUCUGGCUCCAAGGCUCACUGAGUUUGGGAUGCAGCCAGCACAUGGUACUGCUCUCUGGAUUGUCCUCUGUUGCUGCCAGCAUGACUUGCUCCCACCAGCUCAAGUCAAAGGGUUUCCACCUGUGGAAUUUCUCUGGGACAGCUUCUUUAUCGUGUGUAUCGCUUAGAUAUCACCUGCUCUUGCCUAGGGUUGGCAUCUGCUGUCAAAUAUCACCUCCGCCCUCUGCCUGGGUCUGUUUGUAUUCACCUGCAGCUGUCAGAGGGAACAAUACCUGUGUUUUCACAAUUCCUGCUUGCCUCUUUCUUGCCAAACAUAGGUAUUUGUUGCACAAGAGAAUGAAAGUAAAAAGGUUGAUUGACAUAGUGGGAAUAAACUUGGAGAAACUGCUCGCAUCCUCCAGUUAAAUCAAACUUGGAGAAGGGCUUGUGUGCUCAACAACUUUUUUUUUUCUUUUUCCACCUAAAUUUGUUGGUCCAACACAAGAUAUCAUCUCUCCGUAUACCUUGUCCUACCCUUUUUUGUAUAGUAAGUAGUUCUUUAAAAUUGGUAAUCAAGGGAAAACUUUGCUACAAAAAAAAUGAAAUAAUCAAAUCUGUGCAGGAGUGGGUUAGUUUUAAUCAAGCAAACUUCAUCUGUCUCAAAGGAAGGGUUAAGAAAGAUCAGCUCGGCUGCAUAAGAUCAUCCAGCGAAGGAGAGUGGGGAGAGAAUCGCAUUGUGGCAAGGUGAUAGUCCAGCUAAUGCAGCAUUCAUCAGCUGCCAGUGGCCAAUCUCAAAUGCUUCAGAGAAGACUAACAUCCG